UCGUUAACGAACGAGACCUCGACCUGCUAACUAGUGCACCGCAGCAUUCGUGCUGCUGUCGUUCGGCACUUCUUAGAGGGACUAUCGGUGUGUAGCCGAUGGAAGUUCGAGGCAAUAACAGGUCUGUGAUGCCCUUAGAUGUUCUGGGCCGCACGCGCGCUACACUGACGGGUUCAUCGAGCUUUCUUUAUUGUUACCUUGACUGACAGGUCUGGGGAAUCUUUGGAAUGCCCGUCGUGCUGGGGAUAGACCCUUGGAAUUAUGGAUCUUGAACGAGGAAUUCCUAGUAAACGCAAGUCAUCAGCUUGCAUUGAUUACGUCCCUGCCCUUUGUACACACCGCCCGUCGCUAAUACCGAUUGAAUGGAUC
rnacentral:rRNA from 1 species